GGCUGGUUGGCGCAAUGGUAGCGCGUGGUCCUCCUAAGACCGAGGUUGAGGGUUCGAGUCCCUUGCUGGUCG
rnacentral:tRNA from 1 species